rnacentral:rRNA from 1 species
UACGUAGGGUGCAAGCGUUGUCCGGAAUUAUUGGGCGUAAAGAGCUCGUAGGCGGUCUGUCGCGUCUGCUGUGAAAACUCGGGGCUUAACCCCGAGCCUGCAGUGGAUACGGGCAGACUAGAGGUAGGUAGGGGAGAAUGGAAUUCCCGGUGUAGCGGUGAAAUGCGCAGAUAUCAGGAGGAACACCGGUGGCGAAGGCGGUUCUCUGGGCAUUACCUGACGCUGAGGAGCGAAAGCGUGGGGAGCAAACAGG